GAUGAACGCUGGCGGUGUGCCUAAUACAUGCAAGUCGAGCGAACAGACGAGGAGCUUACUCCUCUGACGUUAGCGGCGGACGGGUGAGUAACACGUGGAUAACCUACCUAUAAGACUGGGAUAACUUCGGGAAACCGGAGCUAAUACCGGAUAACAUGUUGAACCGCAUGGUUCAACAGUGAAAGACGGUCUUGCUGUCACUUAUAGAUGGAUCCGCGUCGCAUUAGCUAGUUGGUAAGGUAACGGCUUACCAAGGCAACGAUGCGUAGCCGACCUGAGAGGGUGAUCGGCCACACUGGAACUGAGACACGGUCCAGACUCCUACGGGAGGCAGCAGUAGGGAAUCGUCCGCAAUGGGCGAAAGCCUGACGGAGCAACGCCGCGUGAGUGAAGAAGGUCUUCGGAUCGUAAAACUCUGUUAUUAGGGAAGAACAAAUGUGUAAGUAACUAUGCACGUCUUGACGGUACCUAAUCAGAAAGCCACGGCUAACUACGUG
rnacentral:rRNA from 1 species